CUUGUUUUAGUUACUUUAUUUCUAAUUUUCGUGAAAUGGUGAUCCAAACCAAACCACCACAUGCCCCCCCCUCACUCACUCACUCAUUUGAAUGGUACAACAACUUUUCAACUGUCGAAAGUUUCUUCAAAAUGUCUUUUGUUUAGGCGUUGUUGCACUGUUAUUUUGAGUUGAGUAAUUUUUCAUGUAUAUUAUUAGAUAAAAUAUGGGGCUGAUUAUUUGUGACACAACUUCAUAGUUCACGCGGCAGAGAACAUUAUUCAUGGCAUCUAUCCAAACUCAUAACAAUUAAAAGUUUAAUUCUAAUCUUUUUCCUUGCCCGCACCAAAGUUAUUGUGACGUUUUUCGGGUCAUUCGUAUGCAUAGAAAUCAUCGCCGCAAUGGACCUUUAACCUUAUAACUAAAAUUUUGAUCUAGACAAAAAUUUCAUCACAGCUUGAAAGCGCAUCACAAAAUUAGUAAUAUUUCGAAGUUUCGUUGCGAAAUGUUGUAAAAUGCGGAUAAUAUAGCCCUGCGAAAUUUGCAAUUUUCAGUAAUUUUGUAUUACAAACGGGAAAUUGAUACCCCAACACCCGAU